GUGCCUGUAGCUCAGCUGGAUAGAGCAUCUGCCUUCUAAGCAGAACGUCGGGAGUUCGAAUCUCUCCAGGCACG
rnacentral:tRNA from 1 species